CUAGGAUUUGUGUGCACCACGUAUUAUGGGGAUUUAUAAAACUGUCACACACAACAGCCUAGUAUGUUUUCAUUGAUUAAACUGUGCCAUAUUAUAUUUGUGCUUUGUGAACGAGCGCUAGAACCCUGCCGGGAAAACGCCUUUGUUCUCAUUUUAUGAAAUGGUUACGUUCUGCCAUACCACAGGGCAGAAGGCGAGACUGAGAAGCCAAGGAGAAUGCAGACCUCUACCUGGCCCCAAAGUGGACCGGAUCGAUCAGUCACUGGACAAUCCUCAAGUCCCCAAGUCACCAGUGGUCAGCUGAGUGGGAAUCCAAGCACCUAUUCUCAUCAAUAUGGGCCGGUCAGACCAUCUGUGGCGUAUACACUAGGUAGGGAAGUCGGACCAGCGGUCCCAUAUACUCAAGGUGGUGAAUGUCUACCACAAUGCAGCCAAGUAACCAGUGUAGGUUACUGGAGUGGACAGACCCAGAAUAAACAGGCACCCACAAAAGAGCAGGCCCUAAUGGCCACUAGUCCCCUUUUGACAUCACUCUUGACUAACAAUGCGGCUGCACAAUCAACUGGUGUUACAUCACAAAGUGGAUACCAUCACACCCUGCCCGGAAGGGUUAACGAUGCAUUUCAACCCACUUUUCAGCAGGGACAUGGGUCUUUGGGUGGUAAUAGUAACAAUUCACAGAGGUUGGUACAGGAUGGUGAGAGUGCAACCAUUCACUGCCCCUCUGAUAUUAAUGCAUCACUGAAUACAAAUUGUAUUUAUCUCCAAAGCCCAGCAAGUGGCAGUCAGCAGCUGGUACUUGGCAGACAAGAGGGGGCCUCCAGUGGUACCUCUGCUGCUCUUGGCAUGGGUAGGAGUCCCAAUCAUGUCAAUCAUCAAUGGACUGUAGCAAGUGGAAAGGAUUCAAGUAGGAUGGCAGUUCAAGCGCCUCAUCAGGGGUAUCCACAAUCACCAAACUCUUUGCAAAGUGCACAGGAGACAAGUAGCGUGCCAUCAAAGACAUCUCCACUGUCUCCCACAGCAUAUAAACAAUUGUUGUAUUUGGUUCUAAAUCAAAACAAUAACAACAGGACUGAGAUGAACAGGGUUCAACAUGGCACACCUGUCCAAACUGACCCAUCAAACCACAGUCAAAUGUAUCCCUUCCAACCUCUCACGGACAGCAACAACCAGGUCAAUCUAUCAAAUGCUACAGUGGGGCAGUCAAUGCCAAUACAUAACAUUAGCCAGAAUCCUCAAUACAAUGUAAUGCAUAACCCUUUUCUUAAUAAUUUUCAAAGAUAUCGCCCUGCAGGCCUUACCAACCCACCACAACAGAACAGACUUGCGUCAAAUUGUGCAAAUAUGAACAGUCAGACAGGGGCCAUUGAAAAUAAUGCACACCAUGCCCCAUAUCCUAGGCCCCAUUUCGAAGGCGUAUCUAACCUACAUUACAAGGCAGACGGCACAUAUUUUCUGGUAUCCAACACUGGACCAUCGUCAUCUGUGUCAAACAAUAGUAUACAGUCUUCAGUCAAGCACACCCGUGAGUCCGCUCCUCCACCAUACCCAGGCCAGCACUCCCAUGGACCCGUGCUGAACAAGACGGGACAUGUGGUUGGGUCAGGAGCACAUUCUCUGCAAUACAUACCAAACCAAGGCUCAGCCCAUACCCUACGUAACAAGCCAAAACAUUUUCUGAUAUCCAACACUGGACCAUCUUCAUCUGUGCUAAACCAUGGUAUGCCGUUUUCAGGCCAGCAAAACUGUGAGUCUGUGCCUCCGUCAUACCCCAUAAGACAGGGCUAUUACGUAACGGUAACAGAGGACAAAAGUGGAAAAGGAUUUAGAGCAGAAAAUGUUAUUUUGAUAGGAGAUAAACCUAAUGAAAGUGCUCUGGUACGGCAAGGAUCAUCUGCAAGUAAUGCCCCCUCUGUUCCUACGGUGCAGAAGGCCAUCGCCGUUGUACAACCACUGUCGCAGUCUAUGCAGACAAACGCAUCACUCAACGUGGCUGAUAGAAUGCCCUUGACUACCCAAGGUAUGUCAUUCUCAACUGGUGGUGAAAAUGUGAGCAACCCUGGGGAAGAAUCUUGUGACCAAAGUCCAUCACAAACCCAAACAACCCUUACUGUAUCUGCUUCUUUGACAAAUGAAUCUGGACAAAAGCUCCCCAAGGUCAGACCAGAAGCUACAUUAGAAGCAGGUGCUGAAAAAACACUGACUCAGGAUUCAGAAACUUCCGAUGUUGAACUGGCCAAGACAUAUUCAUAUUUUGAGUCUGAAUGGUCACUAUCAAACUGCUUACAUGUAGAGAAAGUGGAUUCUCAACCAUUAUCUAAUUUGAAAUGUCAAGCCACUCAGAGGAAAGAGUUAGCGGGCACAGAAAUGACCACUCAUGUGCAUGUUAACCAAUUGAGUGAGGAAACAAAUGAAGAAGUAGUUUCAGAUGAGGACAUUUUUGAAUUGUCCUCAGUUCCUGUAGUCAAAUGGAGACUUGGUAAAUUGAAGGAGUUGGUAGACACUGUGCAACAUCCAAAAUGCUCUGAGACACUGGUUGAAAGCAAGCUACUAAGCCUCUAUUGGGAUGGAGAUGGGCAGAAGCUUAUGGAUGCUGCAAGAUCUGGUAUUUUACAGAAUAUAAUGCGAGAGGUUAGAUCUGUGUGUGGCAAAGAUAUGUCAUCACAGUCUGUCAUAUUUUCACAAGUCAGGCGCAAAAACUGGGCUCAAGUUGAAGAGAAAUGUGUCAUUCUUAAACAUGAUUCUGUUUACCCCGAGGUCCCAGGUCAAGAGUCCUCAUGGUUGAACACCAAUAAGCAGCUUGAUGACAUAGACAGGGAGUUUGGAUUCCCAUGGUCACUAAGAUAUGACCAACAGACUCUUCAAAGAGGAGUUGAACAACCAAAACGGAAUUUUACCGGAAAUGAAGAUUCUGCAGACUCUGUCUGUGACAUGCAGACUGAGGUGAUUCAGACAGAGAGACCAGCACCCUCUGAAUCUGAUCCUAAAGAAAUCCAAGGGUCAAGUUUGGCACACAGCUCUACACAGACCCUCUCACCAGUUAAAGAAAGUGAAAGCAUCAUUUUUUGUGACCCAUUUUCCUCCCUGGAGAUCAACGUGCUGCCACCAGAAGAGGCUAUGCGGUUUUUCAAUGGCCAGCUACUGCAAGACAAAGUGGGAGAAGACCAGUUGAAAUUGCCAGUGGAUGUGGAGCUGAAUGAGUUGAAAGAUUACUCCGUGGAGGAUAAAUCAUCUGAGGGAGUAGAUGUAAAGUUGACAACUGUAAAAUACGAAGUGGAUGUCCAAUCGGAAGAUUACUGUUGUCUCUCACGUUGGAAGGCAGUGUUCAGUGGGUCCACCAAUUCUUUGUCCUGCAAAUGCCAGUACAAUACUGAAUUGGGUUUGACAAAGGCCACUGUGAAUGCAAAGAUGUUUGUCGAGGGAACUUUGGCUGUUGAACCGAGCACAACAAAUGCAGAACAAAGGGAAAGCCUGCAUUUAUGUAAAUCCAAUGGCACAGCAGAAGGAAAGAGGGAAGGGAAUGGGAAUCCCCAAUCAUGGAAAUCUACAGGCAUUGAAUGCCAAACUAUUGUCUUGUCUGAUAGUGAAUCUGAGACUGAUCGCCCAUACACUAAUGGGGCGAAGAGCUUGCCAUUGUCAAAACCCCACUCACUGUGCCUGCCCAUCAAGUGCCCAAACAUUGUUGAAGUUGAAAUUGAAGAUGUCUUCUCGAGCUAUGAAGACUUUCUCAAGGUAUCCACCCCAAUGUCCAAGCUAGUGUGCGACAAUGUACAGCCAAAGCAGAAACUACCAGGUCCACUCCAGAAACAAAUGGAACGUGUACAAGCACUUAGUGUCACUUUGGAAGAAAGAAACCUUGGGGGUAGUGAAGUCAUUCCUACAGUUCACAUUCCUACUUCUAAUCUGCUACGCCAACCAGCAGAGAAAAUCAGUUUUCUAACAUCACUCUCCUUGGCACAAAGAUGUCACAAGCAUCUAUCUCCUAAAAUAAAUCGUACCUACAAGGUUAAACAUAAAGGGGUUGGACACAAGAGAUGUGUUGAAGGUCCUCAUUCAAAAUUGUCUGUCCCAAGAAAGCGAAGGAAAAUAAGGGAAGGUUUGGGUCCCUUCAUUCAACUUGUUCCUGAGGUCAACUUGACUGACACAGAUGACGAUUUCGAGCCACCCAAUACAAGUACUUCUAACUCUUUGGAAGUAGAGCGGCCUUCAAACGGUCGCAAUCUCCAGAAGCCAGCAGAACCUGGAAUUAGGACUAAGAUUUCAAGGGUCACCACAGUAAGUCUGGCCUUGUUUGGUUCCUCGCCCCAGAGGACAAAUGGGACUGUAGUAACUGGCCAACGCAAGGACCAUAAUUCUUCUCGACCUAGACCUUUUGCAGACAAAGCUCCAGCACCUCCUCUAACCCUCAGUGUGAAUGUCAAGUCCUGGAAGAUAGAGCCCUCCGAGACCAGCCCGCCAGUGGAAAGCCCAGUCAGACAACGGCUCUUCAACGAGUGGGAGAACAGUUUUGUGCCGACAAAGAAGACAAAGUCCAGGGGCAGAGCAUCAAGACUACGAAGCAGAAGAGGGUUUGCUCCGAAGAUUGUUUGUGCUGAAUUUGCCAAAAAGACUGUUACCUCGACCAGGACAGAUGGUAAUGCAUUAUCCUCUGAAAGACGAGCCACACCAGAAAGAACCAUAAGGGCCAAGCGGACUUUGCGGCACAUUGAAAGAGAGAGAAUCUUAAAUGGCCUGAAACUCAGACUGAAGAAAUCUAGGAUCAAGGCGGUGCCAUCCAGCAAACCUGAUACAGUGGAAAAAAGUACAAAUAAGAUCAGGAGCCCUGCUCUUUUGCCUCUUGAGGAGAACAGUGUUCUGAGGUUCAGUGUGCUGCCAGAGUCGUUCAACUUCAAAGAUGGACAAGAACCCAUGGACACUCGGACACAGACUGGUUCAAUGAAGGAAAUGGCUGGUGCUGGUGCUGUUGCUGUUGCUACGACGACUGAGAGUCCUAAAACAAUAGUCCGGAAAUCCCAAGUAGGUUUAUGGUCUGCUUGCCCUCAGAAGAGAUAUUGUCCUCUCACCUCUUCGACCACUAAAGUCCCCAAGUCUUCCUCCACUGCCUUCCAGGAGUUUCAGAGGAAAUUCAAGCGGCUAUCCCAAGACUAGUUUGUAUUGCCUCCAGUUAUGGAAUGGAGGAGUGGAGUGAGGACUGUUGACAAUCUGAUUCUUGUAACUUGUUUCCCAUGGAAAUAUAGUCUGUGUACAAUUUCGUUUUUUUGUUUGUUUAUGACAACCUUUUUCAUAACAUAAUUUUGUUAUUUUGGAAUGCAGAAAUUGACCUUAUUGUGGUAAGGUUGGGCAGUUCAUAAUGUUUUUUAUUUUUCUUUAUUGUAGUUAUUGUUUACAUUCUUAAAUGACUGAGCCAAUAUAUCUGACAGUAUCCUCCUCUACCUCAGGCCUGACGGUCAACAUUGCGAGACUUUGUCAUUAAAAAACAUUAACCAAAGUGUUGUGGCCCAUUGGAUGGCUAUUUUCUUUUCACUGUCAUUUCAGACUUUAAAAAAAAAAGUUUGGGGUUAACAAUAUUUUAUGCAAACCUCAUGUUUAUUGUUUGCAUGGAUUACAGAAUUCGCACUAUGCAAAGUGUACUGCAGUUUGUUUGAAUUUGUAGGCUACAUAAUUUCACUUCUUGACUCUUACCUUCUACACUCUCAUACCUUAUCAAUAGUUACCUUCUCAAUAGUUAUUUUGCUGGAGUUUAAAAUGUUUCCUUUUGUUGCCACAGGAUGAACAGUACCGUAUGGUUCAAGAUGCUGUGACAGCUUAAACAAUGCUGCACUGCAGUAGUUAGACCUUUGUAUUCUGGUUCUGUAUUUUAGUAUUAAACUUUUAUAGUUAUUCGUAGUUAUAGAUUCAAAUUUGUGACAGACAAAAACUGAACGUGUGACAGACAAAAACAAUCAACACUGACAGGAAACGUGUGUCAUUAGUAACCUGGUGCAUUAACGUAUAUUUUUUAAAACUUUUUAUUUUUUUUACCUAGUGUUAUUUCUUUAAUAUGUUGGUUUAUUUUAUUUGUUUCUAAAUAAAUAUUUUACAUACUUACAUUGAUAUUUAUCUCUAGAGCAUCCUUCACUUGGAUUUUCUUGUUGACUUUAGAGGGUACUUGCAGGCUGGGUACAUUCUAUUGCCAGAGCCAGAUGAGUCUAUUGGUUAGGUGUGAAUGCUAAUCCAGAGCAAUUAGCACUAGUCUGUGACACUGUUGGGUGUCAAUUGCUUAGGCUCCCAGAGUUGUUCUGGAUUGCAAACAAAAGUUGUUCUCACAUGAGACCCUUUGAAUUCUUAGGAUGUUUUUUUGAUGGCCUCUUUCAAACCACUUUUAUAUUACACCUCCACCUUUGUUCAGACACUCAGAAUGUGGAGGUCGUUGCAGAAUGUCCACAACGCUCAGGUGACAACGCAAUGUCUCAACCAUUAGGGGUUUGUACCCAUUUUUUUCACAAUUCCUGACAUUUAAUCCAAGUAAAAAUUCAGUGUUUAGGUACAUGACUACAUUAGCAAAUGCCCAUGACUACAUUUGUUACAUCUGGACAUACAAAUGGAGACAGGAUGGUAACAAAAUGACCAAUACAUGAAACAUGUAUACAAUAAAUGUAUAAUUUUUGUAUUACAUAAACGGUCCUGCCACCAUUAUAAUUUAACUCUAAGCAGAUGUGGGCGUUAAUGGGCGUGAACAAGCAAGACCAGGCACUAAAAGAGAAGGAUGGCGAAAGGACAAGGGGAGUUAUUCCAUUUGCAUGUGGGGUGUACCCAUAUGCGUUAUGUAAGGAUGUAAUGCUAUAAAGGCAAAGCUCUGUGCUGAGAAAGACUGUUGUUCCAUGGAAUAGCACGACUUUGCUAUUUUGUAAUAAAGUCUAAUUUGAAUUCACAAGUUCCAGUAAAGGUGUAAUAUUUCUGAGUCAAUAUUCCACAACAAUAUCAAUAAAUAUCUGUUCAUUUAACUUAGACUUGGAGUCCUUAGUGGUAGUUUCGACAAGUAUGUAAACAUUAAAUUGACCAGUACAUACAGUGAGGGGGAAAAGGUAUUUGAUCCCCUGCUGAUUUUGUACGUUUGCCCACUGACAAAGAAAUGAUCAGUCUAAAAUUUUAAUGGUAGGUUUAUUUGAACAGUGAGAGACAGAAUAACAACAACAAAAAUCCAGAAAAACAUGUCAAAAAUGUUAUAAAUUGAUUUGCAUUUUAAUGAGAGAAAUAAGUAGCACAGCUGCUUCCUGCCACAGACCAAGCAACAGGAUACAGUAUAUCUAUGUACUAGACAGCAGACAGAAACAGCAGAAACACACAGCUCUAAUCGAAUACUCCCAGAUGGCAUAUUCUCAAUGCAAUUAUUCAGUUUGCAUCUCAGCUACAGAUCACUCCUCAUCAAUUCACUACAGAUCAGACUGGAUGGGAAACAAAUGGAUUUACACAACCCACACUGUUACAGCCCUGCUACACUGUUUGUAUGGCAGAGAGACUCAAUGCAUGCAAGAAUACAGACCUGAUAAUACUGUAGAACACAUUUUGCAUAUCAAAUAUUUAUUUAUUUUAUUACUAUUUGGCAUUGCUUUUGUUUAGCCCAUUUAUUUUUAUAGGGGUAGGCUUUACCAUGACUGUUUGUAAUUUUGGAAAAACGUAAUAAAAAAAUGGAAAAGAACAGAUAAUUG
rnacentral:lncRNA from 1 species